rnacentral:rRNA from 1 species
UACGUAGGGUGCAAGCGUUAAUCGGAAUUACUGGGCGUAAAGCGUGCGCAGGCGGUGAUGUAAGACAGAUGUGAAAUCCCCGGGCUCAACCUGGGAACUGCAUUUGUGACUGCAUCGCUGGAGUGCGGCAGAGGGGGAUGGAAUUCCGCGUGUAGCAGUGAAAUGCGUAGAUAUGCGGAGGAACACCGAUGGCGAAGGCAAUCCCCUGGGCCUGCACUGAUGCUCAUGCACGAAAGCGUGGGGAGCAAACAGG